rnacentral:lncRNA from 1 species
GCCCUGAGCAGAGUUUGGCACAGGAGAGCAUCCAGAGAUUUAUGCAGUCAUUAUGUGCAAGGUAGAUUGAAACAGGAGACUCGAUGCGAUCCUGAUGAGACAGCCCCACUGUGAAUUUACAAAUGUUGAUUCCGUGUAACCCAAGCACUGGGGAAAGACUCCACGCUCCACAGGCUGGAGGGCCACAUCCCUGACACUUCUAGAAAGAUGUAAAGGGCCUCUAGGAUCAGAGGAGGAUGACAUCUCCUUGGACCCCACCUGGAGCCCAGCAUAACUACAUGUGUGCCUCAUACACACAUAGACAUCAUGAAUUCAUAACGAACACACCCCUGUCAUCCAAACCCAGACCAAGAAAGAAAACAUGACCUGGAUCCCAAGACCUUCUUUGUCUCCCUUCCCAGCUACGCCUCACCUCCCCAGCCCAGGACAAUAACUCUCCUGACUUCUAACCG